CUCUCGCUCAAGAUCAAAUUAAAAUACAAGGCCUAAAGAAACGAAGACGAGCAAGGCUCGGCUAGGACCCGCAAGGGAAAUUCAGUCAAUGUUCUCUCCAGUUUAAAUCACAAAACAAGAUCAAUUAAACCAUCUAAUGUUCUAAUUUUAAGACUUGGAAGAAGUUGAGAUUUCAAAUUCAAUAUUGAUGCUUUCAGAUAAGCGCUUUGAUCAAACCAUUUCAGAACUCAAAAGAGUUGUGUUUAUACUUUCUUUUUAAGCAGAAUUCAUGACCAUGUGUCAAUGCUCUCCACGGCACAGAAUUAUUACAUCUUUCAUUUGAUAAUCUUCUGCAGAGUACAGAAACAAAUCUGAUAGGUGCAACUUGGUAGAUAUUCAAACUGGCGUUUCUUUUAAGUAUGUUUUUGCCAGGUGGAGCCUUGCCCAUGGGCUACCCCAACUCAAUGACCUCAUCAUCUCUGAAAGCAGCUUCCUUGAGUUUCAUGGCACCAUCUCUUUAAGUUUCUCCAAAGCCCUGUAAUCCGCUUGUUCUCAGCUGUUUCAGAACUUGCAGCAAUGGGAUUAGUAUAAAAAACAUGAAAGGAACAAUGAUCAAACCUAUAAUUAGAACUUACUAAGUGGGAGAGCAGCCGAAUCAUGUACGCAUCAAAUAUGUCAACACACUAAUAUAAGAUUUUCAUUUUGCAGGCUAGCAGCCCUUUCUCGGUUCUUUGUGCAUGCAUAUACAUUCACAUCUACAAGAUGAAUUGAGACAUCAACCGAUGGAUAUAACAAGCCAUCAAUCACCUUUGAAUGUAAAGUUUCAGUCUCUGCAAUUUUCCAAAAAUCAUCUCAGAUGGUGGAAAGCACAUUCAAGCAAAUGCAGCAAGAAAAUUACCUACCUUGAAGUAUGACCGCAAUCCAAUAAUGCCAUACACUAGAUCCCAGUUACAAGAAAUGUAACAGGAAAUAUACCAAAAUACAAGAUUGUUACGUUCCAUAUAAAGCUAAUUCAACUUUUUCAAGAAAAAUGGAAGAGAAAAAGUAAUAUCAUAACAGAACAACACAGAGGAGCAUGAACAGUGUUAGAAGAUUGGACACAGUUGACUAAUCAGGUAACUGGGAAAACAUGGGCACAUAGCAUACUAAUGUCAACCAAUGCUAUUGAAGCUGAUCAACCUUAAAUAAUAAACUGGCAAAGAUAAUUUGGGUAUAAAACAAAGUCCAACAUUAAAUCAUGGUUGCAAUUAACAAAAACUGAAAACUCUUUUGGUUCAACUGUUUGUUUUUUCUUCUUACUUUAUAAAAAAAAUUAUUUUAAUUGAAAAUAAAUGCCACAACUUCAUAUGACUAAUUGGGUAAAGUUCAAGGAGAAGAAGACUAAGAAAAACCGACCACAAAUCAAGCAUUCCAUAUCGCCUUGGUGUGCAAUCAAGCAUUCCCGAUAGCCUUGGUGCGCAAUCUGGACCGCUAAAAUUGGCGUUCCGGUUAUUGCUUUCCAUUUGAUUUAGUGAC
rnacentral:misc_RNA from 1 species